GCAGCAUCAUGAGUGAAUUGAUCACCAAGCUGAAUCUUACUUAACUCCUAGCUUUAAAAUAAUCGGCAGGAAGGAGAACAAAAAGCCACACGUGUGUUUACACACAGGCACCCCGCCCUGCAGGCCCCAAGGAGAGGUUCAAAUCAAGGCAGCCUUUCCUGUGGGCGUGGGUGAGGUGCCCCGCACAGGAGCCAGCUUUGCACUUAGUGCAGACUAGACAGCCAUGUAGUUUAGCAGGGGCAGCAUUGACAGAAACCAGAGAGCUGUAAAUGCCACACUGGGGUGGCUGGGCCACAUGUGCUAUUAACCAGACAGUCUUGUUCCAUGUCUGGAGUCUGAGCACAUUUUAGGCCCUGGUGGCUGGGCAGCACCCUGUGGGGACCGUUAACCACUUAGCUGAGACCCGUUGAGCAGAUGCCUCUGAAAUCUAUGCUGGUUUGAACCCCCCCUGGGGUAUUUUGUGCUCUUAGGGACACCAUAGUAAUUGAUGUAAUAUGCCUAAGAUGGACUGAAACUGUCUGAUAUUGGAAUAAAUUUAGCCUCACUGGCAAUAACCUACGAAAUACUGGGAUAUACGCACAAAGAUCCAUGUGCCAGGAUAUGUGUUGGAGGAUUUAUAUUUGGAGAAAAUUAAAUGCGCAAUGAGAGAGGGGAAGGCUGAAGCUCAAAGAAGCAAGGCAACUCUCAGGGGUCACAGAAGUGAUAAACUGAGGAGUUGGAAUUCCAGAGUCCAAGCUGGUGACGAGCACCGUGAACUCCUCUUCUCUGGCCACCACUCUACUCUACAACAAAGUCUAUAAAUUAUGGCCAUGGCCAGAUCCAGCUCGCCACCUGUUUCUCUGCUGUUCCCAAGAAGAUGGGAAAACUGACACACAGAAAGGCAAAGGACCCCAUUAAAGUCACACGGCGAGUGAAUGUCAAAGCCAGGACCUGCAGAGGCUAUGGUGGGGGAGAGCACUUGGAGGAGAUGGGAAGGAAUCGUUGCAGGGACAGGUCUCACCCUCACUAGUGCUCACUCCAUUACUUGCCGAAUACACUGGGAGAAACACGCCCCUUCUCUUGACCCGGCUCUUUUCCACAAG
rnacentral:lncRNA from 1 species